UAACACUUAGAAAUAGGUGCUAAUACCGCAUAACAACAGAAAGCGCAUGCUUUUUGUUUGAAAACCAAGGUGGUAUGGGAUGGACCCGCGUCUGAUUAGCUGGUUGGCGGGGUAAAGGCCCACCAAGGCGACGAUCAGUAGCCGGCCUGAGAGGGUGGACGGCCACAUUGGGACUGAGACACGGCCCAAACUCCUACGGGAGGCAGCAGUGGGGAAUAUUGCACAAUGGGGGAAACCCUGAUGCAGCGACGCCGCGUGAGUGAAGAAGUAAUUCGUUAUGUAAAGCUCUAUCAGCAGGGAAGAAAAUGACGGUACCUGAGUAAGAAGCCCCGGCUAACUACGUGCCAGCAGCCGCGGUAAUACGUAGGGGGCAAGCGUUAUCCGGAUUUACUGGGUGUAAAGGGAGCGUAGACGGCAGUGCAAGUCUGGAGUGAAAGGCGGGGGCUCAACCCCCGGGACUGCUCUGGAAACUGUACGGCUGGAGUGCAGGAGAGGUAAGUGGAAUUCCUAGUGUAGCGGUGAAAUGCGUAGAUAUUAGGAGGAACACCAGUGGCGAAGCGGCUUACUGGACUGUACUGACGUUGAGGCUCGAAGCGUGGGAGCAACAGGAUAGAUACCCUGGUAGUCCACGCCGUAACGAUGAUCACUAGGUGU
rnacentral:rRNA from 1 species